CCUACGGGAGGCAGCAGUGAGGAAUAUUGGUCAAUGGUCGCGAGCCUGAACCAGCCAAGCAGCGUGAAGGAUGACUGCCCUACGGGUUGUAAACUUCUUUUAUCAAGGAAUAAAGUGAGGCACGUGUGCCUUUUUGUAUGUACUUUAUGAAUAAGGAUCGGCUAACUCCGUGCCAGCAGCCGCGGUAAUACGGAGGAUCCGAGCGUUAUCCGGAUUUAUUGGGUUUAAAGGGAGCGUAGAUGGGUUGUUAAGUCAGUUGUGAAAGGUUGCGGCUCAACCGUAAAAUUGCCAUUGAUACUGGCAGCCUUGAGUACAGUUGAGGUAGGCGGAAUGCGUGGUGUAGCGGUGAAAUGCUUAGAUAUCACGAAGAACUCCGAUUGCGAAGGCAGCCUACUAAGCUGCCACUGACAUUGAUGCUCGAAAGUGUGGGUAUCAAACAGGAUUAGAUACCCUAGUAGUC
rnacentral:rRNA from 1 species